GAUGAACGCUGGCGGCGUGCCUAAUACAUGCAAGUCGAGCGAACAGACGAGGAGCUUGCUCCUCUGACGUUAGCGGCGGACGGGUGAGUAACACGUGGAUAACCUACCUAUAAGACUGGGAUAACUUCGGGAAACCGGAGCUAAUACCGGAUAAUAUAUUGAACCGCAUGGUUCAAUAGUGAAAGACGGUUUUGCUGUCACUUAUAGAUGGAUCCGCGCCGCAUUAGCUAGUUGGUAAGGUAACGGCUUACCAAGGCGACGAUGCGUAGCCGACCUGAGAGGGUGAUCGGCCACACUGGAACUGAGACACGGUCCAGACUCCUACGGGAGGCAGCAGUAGGGAAUCUUCCGCAAUGGGCGAAAGCUUGACGGAGCAACGCCGCGUGAGUGAUGAAGGUCUUCGGAUCGUAAAACUCUGUUAUUAGGGAAGAGCAAAUGUGUAAGUAACUAUGCACGUCUUGACGGUACCUAAUCAGAAAGCCACGGCUAACUACGUG
rnacentral:rRNA from 1 species